GAGUAAACAGCCCAGACCACGCAGUAUCUGCCAAACAGGGCGAGGGAAGAACAGCCACGUUUCCUGUUGCUGGAAGGCCCUGUUGUCAUAUCCUUACCCAGCUAUUUUUAAUUAAUUUUGGCUUUCUUCAUGUGGCUAAAGCACGAGCUGUGAGCAGAGAAGUGACCACCAGCCCUUACCCUGGGCCUGCUCCAUGGAAGGACAAAGGUCUGAAGAGUCUUCACCCCGCUCCCAGCCCACUGGCAGGACAGUGCAGGGUUCCUGGCAGCAGUUUCUCAUUGUGGGCAUUGGUUUCCUCAACAAUUUUGGCUAGACUAGAGGUCCCCUGCACCUGUGCCUGGGAGGUGGAAUGGCCCCAGUGCAGCA